CAGUAGCCGCGGGAACACGUAGGGUGCAAGCGUUAAUCGGAAUUACUGGGCGUAAAGCGUGCGCAGGCGGUUCGUUAAGACAGAUGUGAAAUCCCCGGGCUUAACCUGGGAACUGCAUUUGUGACUGGCGGGCUAGAGUAUGGCAGAGGGGGGUAGAAUUCCACGUGUAGCAGUGAAAUGCGUAGAGAUGUGGAGGAAUACCGAUGGCGAAGGCAGCCCCCUGGGCCAAUACUGACGCUCAUGCACGAAAGCGUGGGGAGCAAACAGGAUUAGAUACCCCCGUAGUCCCUGUCUCUUAUAC
rnacentral:rRNA from 1 species